rnacentral:lncRNA from 1 species
AAUGGGGGUGGGGGUUGCCAUGGUGAUGCCCAGUCAACAGAAUGGAGAAAAGAGAAAUUUGGUUUGAAAUGAAAUUUGAGUCUUGAGAGAGGGCUGAUAUGAAGGAGAAUCAAACAAGCCACAUGGGAGCAUCUGAAGGCCUGGAGAUAAGGGCCUGUUGCAUGGCUGUGAAAAUUUGGCCUUUAAAAUAACUAGGCAUGGGCCAGAAAUCACAGCCGGCGGCUGCGACCACCCAAGGCAGGAGAUCCAGCGGGGGACUAUGGAGCUCAGUGGAGCUGCGGCCUGGGAGAAGCCCACCCAAGAGAACCAUGUAACUAGAAACCAUCACAUUCGGCUUCGUGUGAGGGAGAAGCAGAUUGCCAAGAUGGUACAGACAGCAGAAGUGGCAAAACAACACUUAAACUCAAACCUGCCCAACUUCAAAGUCCACGCCCUUCCCUGGGCUUCAGACUGCCGUCUUUGAUGCUAUCUUUCAUUGAGAUGUUGUUUGCAUUAAAUGGGGGAUCUUGCGGCACACGGUGGACCUUGCCCAGCACCCACUCUUCCUAGGGCCAGCCUUACUCUGUGGGGUCAGCCUUUGACCGUCUGGGCCAUGAAGGUGGCUGAUGAGGCCCCUUCGACAGCCAAGUUGGGGCACAAUCUCCUCCGGAUGUUGUUAUUCCUUCACAGUCUCAUCGCAGGCGGGGAGGAAGUCAGAGGGCUGAUUUAGAGGACAGAGAUACAAACAGAGUGAGCAGAGGAUGUUUGGCUGCAGUUGCUCCAGAGUUUCAAGGGAGAAAACACAAGCAUUGCUGAGCGGCCAUUAGGGGCUUGCACGCUCAGCUGGGCACAUGUCCACACCGAGGCAUCACGUGCGGUCUGAGCUGAGCUCUCAUCUCUGGGUUUCAGGACUUUCAGCACAGUCCUGGCCCUUCACGUUUAGUCUGGGUGAUCAGGGAUGUAAACCAGCAAUUGCAAGGUGGUGAAGCACCACCGUGGAAGGGCACCAGCCGGGCCCUGGGGUCACAGAAGUGCCCCAGGAAGUGUGGCCGUUAAGCCUGGUGAGAGGAGAGCGAGCCGGGAGGACGGUGAGAGACAGGCAUGACGGGGCGGUGAGUGUGACUGCUGCUGAGCAUGUCUGAGACGGCAGGCAGUCACCAAAGGCUUGUAAGCAGAGGCAACACCCUGACUUGUGGUUUGGAGAGAUCAUGGUGACUGCCGUGCAGGGACGGAAUGGAGGCUGCUCCAGUGACUCUGGCCGUGGGCAGUGGUGGGCGGGUGAGGGGACAGAGGAAAGUGGAUGGAGUUGCUGCCCCCACAACCCUGCUGAGAAAGUGCCCACGGGACCUGGCGGGGUGUGAGUCACACUUGGGCUGCUCUGCCUGGCUCUGCACCUAUUUCGUGAGCUGGAAGGGACAGCCUGAGCCCCGUCCCUUGGAUGGACAUCAAUGCAGGAGUAAGGGUCUGUCUCUGAAGCUCUCUGAGCAACGGAAGGGAAGGUGCCCACUGGGCUCAAUGCAGAGAUAUUGGGGCUGAUGUGGCAGGAGGGGUGGGUGUGCAGGCCCGGCGGGGAAGGAGACUUCCAAACAGACGGGCUGCCCCACGGGGAAUCUGGCUGGGGCCAGUCAUUCUCAGAGUCAAACCAUCUUCAUUCAACUCCGAGGCUGCCCCAGGCCAGUAGCGUCCUUCCUGAGAGCGCUUCCUGCGAGAUUUAUGAGGCAGGGGCCAGGCCUGGAUCGUAGAAAGCUAGAGAAUGCCUUGGCUGCCCAGGGAAGUCUGGAAUUUCUUCCAAACCAAGCUUCCAGACGUCCCUCUGGACUCCUCUGUCUGAGAAUGGGCACUUUAAAGGCCCAGGAGAGAACUCCCAUGACACCGUUUUCCAACCUCCCAUCUCCCCUCCCCGGCAGCUCCCCAUUUCCGGCAUCUCGGCUUGGCAGGACCCCUCCAGGACCUCACUCCUCUGAGACGCACUGCAGACCUCACAGGUGACAGCAGCGUUUUGCUGACUCAGAGGCAACUACCACGAUGACCCUCCAGCCCGUGUCCAGACCUGGGGCAGCGACUUGGACAGGGGGCUGCAGAAGUGGGUCUGUGAGGGGGACCUGACGGGGGGCUGCAGAAGUGGGUCUGUGAGGCGGACCUGGGGGGGCAGCCCUGGGGUGGGCUCACUGGGGUUCACUCCACCUCGAAGACUUCAAUUCCAGCUCUGGCUGGUUUUGUUGGAUUAGGAACACACAGCCAGCCAAAUCUUGGUUACUAGGGUGCCAGAGAUCACGUGGAGAAAUGAAAUAAAGAGAGAACCCCCAAACGGUGGUGCUGCCAUGCAUUGGAGCCUCUCGCCCCAACAGCAUUCUUACUUUAUUUAUUUAUUUCUCAUCCACAUUUUGCUGGAAGAUUUUGCGCAUUCAUAAUGGCAAACAGAAUAUGGCGAUAAGCUUCUGUGUACACUAUCAUCAACAGCUUUCAAUUCCUAAUUAACCUUAUUUUAUCAAUAUUCCCCAUAAUCCCCCAUGCUGUUUCUUG